rnacentral:rRNA from 1 species
CCUACGGGAGGCAGCAGUGAGGAAUAUUGAGCAAUGGGCGCAAGCCUGACUCAGCAACGCCGCGUGGAUGAUGAAGGCCUUCGGGUUGUAAAAUCCUUUUCUGGGGGAAGAUAAUGACGGUACCCCAGGAAUAAGUUCCGGCUAACUACGUGCCAGCAGCCGCGGUAAAACGUAGGGGACAAGCGUUAUCCGGAUUUACUGGGCGUAAAGCGCAUGUAGGUGGCUUAUCAAGUUGGACGUGAAAGCUCCCGGCUUAACUGGGAGAGGUCGUACAAAACUGAUAAGCUAGAGGAUGGAAGAGGAGAGCGGAAUUCCCGGUGUAGUGGUGGAAUGCGUAGAUAUCGGGAGGAACACCAGUGGCGAAAGCGGCUCUCUGGUUCAUAACUGACACUGAGAUGCGAAAGCGUGGGGAGCGAACGGGAUUAGAUACCCCAGUAGUC